ACCUCGGCGGUCGGGCGCGAGCCCGGCCGCCAAACCAAACCCUCUGUGAACAAACCCGGCCGACGCCGUCACGCGUCGGCCGAAACCUUUGCACCUGUCGUCACUAUGUCCAGAAAGUAUAUAACAAAGAGUACAACUCUCAACGAUGGAUCUCUUGGCUCUCGCAUCGAUGAAGAACGCAGCGAAUCGCGAUACGUAAUGUGAAUUGCAGAAUUCAGUGAAUCAUCGAAUCUUUGAACGCACCUUGCACCCUCUGGUAUUCCGGAGGGUAUGCCUGUCUGAGUGUCUAUGUCAAUCAUCAUCCCGACGGGUUCUGCCCGGCGGGGUUGGAGUUGGGCGCUGCCAUCCGUGGCUCGCCUCAAAUGCAUUGGUGGCUCUUGGUCGGCCCUUCAUCUGGCGUGAUACGUUUCGCCGGGGGAUGGGGUCGUCCGGCCUCCUUGAAACCGCCUGCUUGCAGGAAGCACCGAUUGACCUCAGAUCAGGUAGGACUACCCGCUGAACUUAAGCAUAUCAAU
rnacentral:rRNA from 1 species